rnacentral:misc_RNA from 1 species
CAAGGAAUGGACUAUAGAGUAUGGAGUUUUACGCAUGCUAAUGUACGCCUCUGUUCUACCGUUAUAUAUGCAUGAACCCACUCUCCAUCUUCACCAAAGCCGGUGGUGGGUCACUUGUGAACCAGGAUAUUUGCAUACCAUUUCUCCUUUCUUUCCUCCUUUCUUUUCUUCAAACACAGAGAGAUAUGGAGAUUGAUAAGGAAAUGAGACAAUCCAAAUUCAAGAGAAUUUGUGUGUUUUGUGGUAGUAGUCCUGGAAAGAAAAGUAGCUAUAAGGAUGCUGCUAUUGAGCUUGGAAAAGAAUUGGUUAGCUCUGCUUGUAACUUCAUCUUGGAAACUGCUUUCACUUUCCAAGUUCUGCUUUCUUUUUUCAGCUUCUUAAACUAUUUCUCUGUGUUUUUGAUUUCCCCUUUUGCUUCUCCUUUGUAAUUACUUUAUAUAGAGCUUGCUUUCUUGUUUUGAUUUCCUACUCUGGUUUGGUUCCCCUGUUGUUUCUCUGUUAUAGUUUCUUGUUUUCUUGUGCUUUCUUCUUUUUACCUUUUCAAUUCUUGCUUAGAAAAUCAAAUAAAAUAAAUGUGUUCAGUAAUUCUUAUUGCUUUUCCUUGAUGGGUUUUCAAGAACUUCUAGUAAUGUUUGAUGAAGAUAAUAAAUAAAUUUGUCUGCUUUGGCUUCUUGUACCUUACUUGGGUUUUAAGACUUCUCUCUUUUUGUUGGAGCCGCAUUUUACACAUUAGUCCAUUUUAGAUCAUUUAAUAGCUCUAUAUUUUAUAUUCUUUAUUGAAUCAGCAUUGGAAAAACUAGUUCUUUCUUUUCUUUAAUUAUUAUUUGUAUUUUAUUAAAAUACAACAACCAAAAUGUACUUCAAUGGGCACUUCACUAUGCACUCGUUGAUAUUUUUCUUUUGACAUUUUUUUCCUCUUUUUUCUUCUUUUUCAGGUAGCAAAAAAUAUUGAUCUGGUUUAUGGAGGAGGGAGUAUUGGUUUGAUGGGGUUGAUUUCUCAAGCUGUUUAUAAUGGUGGCCGCCAUGUGAUAGGGUGAAGCUUCUAACCCUAUUCCAUGGGUUCUUUCCUCUUCUUCUUCUUUCUUUCCUCUAUAUACAGGAAGAUACAGAAAUUGACAAUAGAAUUUUUUUGCCUGCAGAGUUAUCCCCAAGACACUCAUGCCUAGAGAGAUAACUGGUGAAACAGUGGGUGAAGUGAAGCCAGUUGCUGAUAUGCACCAAAGGAAAGCAGAGAUGGCUAGACAUUCUGAUGCAUUCAUUGCCUUACCUGGUCUGCUUAACACCUCCAAAUUUUUAUUAUUUUAAAUCUUUUGUGUUUGUUUCAUUGUUUGUGUCAGAAAUGAUUAAGAGUUUAUAAAAAUGGCAUAAGUUGACCAAAGAAACAAGGCCAAUUUUUUCUCAAGCCUUGAACUGCUCGACCUCCACAGAAAGCAAGCAAAGACCCAUGAUUAGAGAGCAUUUUCUAAGCUUGAAAACCUCUAGUCACUGACGCUAUUCCUCCAUUAUUAUGUUCAGCUGCUGACACUGAAAAUUAGGCUUUUUGUUUGAGCCUUUACUUUCUGUGGUUAAUAGGCUUUCCAUGUGAUGAUAUAACUGUACCUCCUCACCCUCAAAUUCACCCACUAAGGAACAAGCUGCAAAAUAAUUGUGAACUCUUCUUGCAAAUGGUCCUUUUGAGAAGGAAAAGGACUAUAGCAUGCAAAUGAUUACAGUUUUCUACCUUCAAUUUUGGGAAGGAAAAGUUAGCCUUGUUUGGUCUUGUUGGUCCUUAUGUGGUACUAGUUUUUGGUACUAAAAGAGGCUGACCAAACUGUAGGACAUCAUUUAUGGGCUAAGUCCAUAUUGCUACAUUGAUUGAAGCUUCAUGGCUUAAAACAAAUGAUACCCAUUAAUGUUUCUUUUUCAGAAUUCCCAUGUGAUCCCAAGAACAAUCUCUCAAAAACUUACAUAAUUGUCUCUAUUAGCCUUAAAAAAUGUACAAGUUUGUUCUCUUGGAAGUAUAAUUGAUUCAAAUUUUUUCUUGGGAUUUCUUUGAAGGUGGCUAUGGGACCCUUGAGGAGCUUCUUGAAGUGAUAACUUGGGCCCAACUUGGUAUCCAUGACAAACCGGUGGGAUUGCUGAAUGUGGAUGGUUACUACAACUCUUUAUUGUCAUUUAUUGACAAAGCAGUAGAGGAAGGCUUCAUUAGUCCAAGUGCUCGACAUAUCACAGUGUCUGCCCCUAACCCAAAAGAGUUAGUCAAGAAAAUGGAGGAGUAUUUUCCAAGGCAUGAAAUAGUUGCCUCAAAGGUCAGUUGGGAGAAUGAACAAUUAGGAUACUCUGAAGAGAUUUGAGACAUUGAAAAGGAAGAGCCCAAAGAAAAUAGGCACUUUGGCAUUGAAAUGGGCUAUAAUUUUACAUGACCAAACGUUUUCAAAGUGGGUUUUUUUUAGCCCCU